AGGACGAACGCUGGCGGCGUGCUUAACACAUGCAAGUCGAGCGGAAAGGCCCUUCGGGGUACUCGAGCGGCGAACGGGUGAGUAACACGUGAGCAACCUGCCCUUAGCUCCGGGAUAGCUCCGGGAAACCGGAAUUAAUACCGGAUAUGACCUAGGCCGACAUCGGCUGUGGUGGAAAGUUUUUCGGCUGGGGAUGGACUCGCGGCCUAUCAGCUUGUUGGUGGGGUAAUGGCCUACCAAGGCGACGACGGGUAGCCGGCCUGAGAGGGCGACCGGCCACACUGGGGACUGAGACACGGCCCAGACUCCUACGGGAGGCAGCAGUGGGGAAUCUUGCGCAAUGGGCGAAAGCCUGACGCAGCGACGCCGCGUGGGGGAUGAAGGCCUUCGGGUUGUAAACCCCUUUCAGCAGGGACGAAGCGAAAGUGACGGUACUGCAGAAGAAGCGCCGGCUAACUACGCGCCAGCAGCCGC
rnacentral:rRNA from 1 species